AAGCAACCCAGAGCCCUCCUCCCGCCUGCUCUGUGUAGGAGACAGCCUGCGGAGCCCACUGCCGGCGCGCAGAGAGCCCAGCAGCUCUUGAGUCCAGGAAGCAAGGGUGGGAGGAGGGACGAGCCAGUGGCAAUGACCCAGACCCGGACGACCCCCAUUGCUGAGCCAGCGGAGCUGCUUGGAGGCAGAGGUUGCAGUGAGCUGAGAUUUUGCGACUACACUCCAACCUGGGCAACAGAGCGGGACUCCAUUCCAAAAAAAUAAGAAAAACAGAAAAAUAAUAAUUACAUCUGCAAAGACCUUAUUUCCAGAGACAGAGUUUUGCUGUGUUGCCAGGCUGAUCAACUCCUGAGCUUAUGCAAUCCACUCACCUCGGCCUCCCAAAGUGCCAGGAUUACAGGCGUGAGCCACCUUGCCCGGCCAAGAUGAGAUCCAAAGUCCACAAAUAUAUCAUAAAUCUGAAGAGGAACUGGGAGAAGCUUCUGCUGGCAGCUCAUGCCAUUGUUGCCAUUGAAAACCCUGCUGAUGUGUCAUAUCCUGCAGGAAUACUAGCUAGUGGGCUGUGCUGAAGUUUGCUGCUGCUGCUGGAGCCACAUGUAUUGCUGGUCACUUCACUUCUGGAACCUUUGCUAACCAGAUCCAAUCAUCUUCUGCCACCCACAUCUUCUGGUGGUUACUGAUUCUAGGGCUAACUAUCAGCCUCUCUCAGGGGCUUCUUAUGGUAACCUACCUACCUACCACUGCUGUAUGUAACAGAUUCUCCUCUGAGCUAUGUGGAUAUUGUCAUCCCAUGCAACAACAAGGAAGCUCAAUCACUGAGUCUAAUGUAGUGGAUGCUGGCCCAGGAAGCUCUGUGCAUGUGUUGCACCAUCUCCCAUGAUCAUGCCUGAUCUCUACUUCUAUAGAGAUCCUGAAGAGAUUGAAAAGGAAGAGUAGGCUGCAGCUGAAAAAGGAGGAAUUUCAAAGUGAAUGGACUGCUGUAGUGCAAGUUUACUGCUACUCAAUCUGAGGUUGCAGACUGGUUUAAAGACAUGCAGGUGCCCUCUGUGCCUAUUCAGCAGUUCCCUACUGAAGAUUGGAGCACUUAGCCUACCAUGAAUGACUGGUCUGCAACUUCCACUGCUCAGACCACUGAAUGGGUAAGAAUAACCACUGAGUGGCCUUAAGCUGUUCUUCCACAAGCUCUUAAACAAGAUGGAAAUAACGCUGAUGGAAAUAAACAACAGUUUCCAAGAAAACACGAACAGCUGAAGUGGCAAUGUUUAAGUAACAUCUGGUAGACUUUAACAUGAAUGUUAUUAAGCAGGAAAUUAUGAUCUUUUAAGUUGGAACAUGUAAUGUUAAUCCUUUUGCACCAAAAUAUCUCUUUAAGUCUAAAUUAUCCACUUUUUUUUUUAAUUCUUCGUAGAGAUAGAGGUUUCGCUUUGUUGCCCAGGCUGUUCUUGACUUCCUAACUUCAAGCAAUCCUUCUGCCUCAGCCUCCCAGAGUGCUGGGAUUAUAGGCAUUUGCCACCGUGCCUGGUGUACCCAGUUUCUGUUAUCAACAGAAUGCAGUGGUGUAUGGUUGCUAAAGGGUCCCAAGAUCAGGACCUACGUUAAGGUGGAUUUUGAAUUAUUUAAAAUUCUGAUUUUGUUUUAUUUUUAAUUAAUCUUUGGGGGAAGGAUGGGAGGGGGGUGAGGGUUGAAGAAGUAAACAUUGUACCUAUUGGAUACAAUGUUUAAUAUUUGUGUGAUGGGCACACUGGAAGCCCAAACCUCACUAUUACACAAUACAUUCAUGUAACAAGCCUGCACAUGCACCUCCUGAAUCUAUUUUUAAAAAUUUAAUUCUCUAGCACAGACUCCCUUUUUUUGGUAAGAUGGCGGGGUACGACUUAACUACUCGCAUCACGCACCUUUUGGAUCGGCAUCUAGUCUUUCCGCUCCUUGAGUUUCUCUCUGUAAAGGAGAUAUAUAAAGAAAAGGAAUUAUUACAAGGUAAAUUGGACCUUCUUAGUGAUGCCAACAUGGUAGACUUUGCUAUGGAUGCAUACAAAAACCUUUAUUCUGAUGAUAUUCCUCAUGCUUUGAAAGAGAAUAGAACCACAGUUGUUGCACAACUGAAACAGCUUCAGGCAGAAACAGAACUAAUUGUGAAAAUGUUUGAAGAUCCAGAAACGACAAGGCAAAUGCGGUCAACCAGGGAUGGUAGGAUGCUCUUUGACUACCUGGCGGACAAGCAUGGUUUUAGGCAGGAGUAUUUAGAUACAUUCUACACAUAUGCAAAAUUCCAGUAUGAAUGUGGGAAUUACUCAGGAGCAGCAGAAUAUCUUUAUUUUUUCAGAGUGUUGGUUCCAGCAACAGACAGAAAUGCUGUAAGUUCACUCUGGGGAAAGCUGGCCUCUGAAAUCUUAAAGCAGAAUUGGGAUGCAGACAUGGAAGACCUUACAUGGUUAAAAGAGACCAUAGAUAAUAAUUCUGUGAGUUCUCCACUCCAGUCUCUUCAGCAGAGAGCAUGGCUCGUUCACUGGUCUCUGUUUUCUUCAAUCACCCCAAAGGUUGUGAUAAUAUUGUUGAUCUCUUCCUUUACCAGCCACAGCAUCUUAAUGUGUCCACACAUUCUUCACUAUUUGACUACAGCAGUCAUAGCAAACAAGGAUGUUCGAAAACGUUGGCAGGUGCUAAAAGAUCUAGGUAAAGUUACUCAACAGGAGUCUUACACAUAUAAAGACCCAAUUACAGAAUUUGUUGAAUGCUUAUAGAUUAACUUUGACUUAGAUGGGGCUAAGAAAAAGCUGAGAGAAUGUGAAUCAGUGCUUGUGAACGACUUCUUGGUGGCUUGUCUUAAGGAUUUCAUUGACAAUGCCCAUCUCUUCAUAUUUGAGACUUUCUGUCACAUCCACCAGUGUAUCAGCAUUAACAUGUUGGCAGACAAAUUGAACAUGACUCCAGAUGAAACUGAAAGGUGGAUUGUAAAUGUGAUUAGAAAUGCAAGACUGGAUGCCAAGAUUGAUUCUAAAUUAGGUCAUGUGGUUAUGGUAACAAUGUACUCUCACCCUAUCAGCAAGUGAUUGAAAAGACCAAAAGCCUUUCUUUUAGAAGCUAGAUUUUGGCCAUGAAUAUUGAGAAGAAACUUAAUGACAAUAGCAGGUCAGAGGCUCCUAACUGGGCAACUCAAGAUUCUGGCUUCUACUGAAGAAACAUAAGGAAAAGAUUUUAAAAAAACUCUAAAAGAAAGAUGAAAUAAUAAAACUAUUAUAUAAAGGGUGACUUACAUUUUGGAAACAACAUAUUGAGUGUAAAUUGUGAAGAAUUGGAAUAAAAUUGACUGAUUCAAAAAAAUUUAAUUCACAAAAAAAUUUUAAUCCUUUUAAGCUAAUUAUAGAUUCACAUGUAGUUGUAAGAAGUUACAAAGAGGCUAGGUGCAGUAGCUGACGCCCAUGAUCCCCGCACUUUGGGAGGCCGAGGCAGGCAGAUCUCUUGAGGCCAGGAGUUUGAGACUAGCCUGGCCAACAUGGCAAAACCCCAUCUCUACAAAAAAUUAGCAAAGCAUGGUGGCACAUGCCUGUAAUUACAGCUACUUGGGAGGCUGAGGCAUGAGAAUCACUUGACCUGGGAUUACAAGUGUAAUCCCAGCCAUAGGCUGGGUGCAGUGGCUCACACCUGUAAUCCCAGCACUUUGGGAGGCCAAGGUACGGGUGGAUCACCUGAGGUCAAGAGUUCAAGACCAGCCUGGCCAACAUGGUGAAACCCCGUCUCUACAAAAACACAAAAAUUAGCCGGGCAUGAUGGUGCGCACCUGUAAUCCCAGCUACUCAGGAGGCUGAGGCAGGAGAAUCGCAUGAACCCAGGAGGCAGAUGUUGCAGUGAGCCAAGAUCACGCCAUUGCACUCCAGCCUGGGCAACAGAGUGAGACUCCACCUCAAAAAAAAAAAAACAAAAAAAAACCACCAGCCAUUUGGGAAGCCAAGGCAGGAUUGCUUGAGACCAACCAGAAGUUCAAGGUUGCCUGGGCAACAGAGCAAGACUGUCUCGAGACAAAACAAAAAGUCAGCAUCUUCUGCCCACUUUUACUUUAACAUACAUUUAUGGAUCUAUUGUCUCUUUCCCUGUUCUAAAACUUUAAAUUUCACAAGAAUGAAGAUUUUGCUGUCUUGUUUCCUGCUGUGUCCCCAGCAUAAACAGCAUAAAGAAGUGCCAUAAGAUAGAAAUUUUUGUUUUCUGUUCACCAGUAUAUCCACAGCACCUAGAACAGCAUCUGCUUUAGACUUAUUAGAUGAAGACUUAAAAAAAAAAGGAACAGCACUUCUGCACAUAUUUAGCACUUGAUACAUAUUUGUGGAAUAAUUUCUAUCAUAACUAGCAGCUACUUCCUAAUUUGAUAUGUAGCAUCCCGUAUUAACAGGACUUUUGUGAAUGGAGAGGACAUCUAUUUAUUCUUUGUUAUGUGCCAAAUAUAUUUGUAUUAAUCAUAACUCUUAAUAUUCCUUUAAAAUUAAAUAAUUGUUUCCACAGCUCUUAAAAUAGAAUUUAGGAACCUAGCAACAUGCCACUCAUCCAUUAACAGUGAUAAAUUAUUUAAUUUUAUAAACUUUUCAUUAAAGUAACUGAUAUAGUUUGGA
rnacentral:lncRNA from 1 species